rnacentral:rRNA from 1 species
GACGUAGGGCGCGAGCGUUGUCCGGAUUUAUUGGGCGUAAAGAGCUCGUAGGCGGCUCGUUGCGUCGGCUGUGAAAACCCGCAGCUCAACUGUGGGCUUGCAGCUGAUACGGGCGGGCUGGAGUUCGGUAGGGGAGACUGGAAUUCCUGGUGUAGCGGUGAAAUGCGUAGAUAUCAAGAGGAAUACCAACAGCGUAGGCAGCUCUCUGGAAGAUUCCUGACUCUGAGGCACGAAGGCCAGGGGAGCAAACGGG